AACAAUAAAUCUGAUUCUUUAUGCUAAGAAAAGUUCCUUAUCCGUCUGGUUGAGUUGUAUGCAGUGUCGUGUUCUCCUACAAACAAAGGCCGGGCAUGUGAUGAUUCUUGUUUUGUUUGCAGUGUACGUGUAAUCCAGGACCAAGAUAUGACAACCUUCCAUGAUGUUCCGUGCAACAUUUCAUUCACCCUUUUCUGCUCAAGGUAGAUAAGCAUCACUUUAUCUGAUGAUGUGUAGGCACGUAAUACUCUAAAUAAAGUCAAAUGGGAUAUCUUCGUUCAAGCAACCACCAUCCAUGUGAAGUUAGCAAGGAGUACACCGUUAGCUUACUUUGUGUGCAGAACUACACAAAAAAAAAGAGUCGAGCCUGAUUGCCUAUAAAUACACAUUAAGGUGAGGACAUGACAGUUCAACAUCUCACAGUCACACAGGCGAUUUAAUCUGCCUCAUAGGAAGCAAGCAUCACAAAGAUGAGUUCUGUGGUGAAGAAGCCGGAGGGAGGGAACACCGAUACUGGUGACCAUCACAAUAAGAAGACGGAGUGGCCAGAGUUGUUGGGGAAGUCGGUGGAGGAUGCCAAGAAGGUGAUUUUGCAGGACAAGUCAGAGGCACAGAUCGUAGUUCUACCGGUGGGUACAAUUGUGACCAUGGAAUAUCGAAUCGACCGUGUCCGCCUCUUUGUUGACAGUCUCGACAAAAUUGCCCAGGUCCCCAGGGUCGGCUAACAAGCUUAAGAUCUAGCCUGCUCCUGGCGUAUAUGUAUUGUAGCUUGAUAAUCUCUUCUUGGAUAUAGCAAGAUUGAGAUAUAUAGAUCAUAUACAAUAAGCGUUGAUGCAUGGUAAGUGAAUGGAUAAUAGAAUAAGUCAGAGAGCGCGUAAUAUGGUUAUGGUUUGUAUGUAAGCGUGCUUGGUUUCAUAUAUCUGUUUACAUAUGGAUACCA